UACGUAGGGGGCUAGCGUUGUCCGGAAUCAUUGGGCGUAAAGCGCGUGUAGGCGGUCCGGUAAGUCCGCUGUGAAAGUCGAGGGCUCAACCCUCGAAUGCCGGUGGAUACUGUCGGGCUUGAGUACGGGAGAGGCGAGUGGAAUUCCUGGUGUAGCGGUGAAAUGCGCAGAUAUCAGGAGGAACACCAAUUGCGAAGGCAGCUCGCUGGGACGUUACUGACGCUGAGACGCGAAAGCGUGGGGAGCGAACAGG
rnacentral:rRNA from 1 species